rnacentral:rRNA from 1 species
AGGGGGACAACAGUUGGAAACGACUGCUAAUACCGCAUACGAUCUAAUCUCGGCAUCGAGGAUAGAUGAAAGGUGGUCUCUACAUGUAAGCUAUCACUGAAGGAGGGGAUUGCGUCUGAUUAGCUAGUUGGAGGGGUAACGGCCCACCAAGGCGAUGAUCAGUAGCCGGUCUGAGAGGAUGAACGGCCACAUUGGGACUGAGACACGGCCCAG